UGGGGAAUAUUGGACAAUGGGCGAAAGCCUGAUCCAGCCAUGCCGCGUGUGUGAAGAAGGUCUUCGGAUUGUAAAGCACUUUAAGUUGGGAGGAAGGGCAUUAACCUAAUACGUUAGUGUUUUGACGUUACCGACAGAAUAAGCACCGGCUAACUCUGUGCCAGCAGCCGCGGUAAUACAGAGGGUGCAAGCGUUAAUCGGAAUUACUGGGCGUAAAGCGCGCGUAGGUGGUUUGUUAAGUUGGAUGUGAAAUCCCCGGGCUCAACCUGGGAACUGCAUUCAAAACUGACUGACUAGAGUAUGGUAGAGGGUGGUGGAAUUUCCUGUGUAGCGGUGAAAUGCGUAGAUAUACGAAGGAACACCAGUGGCGAAGGCGACCACCUGGACUAAUACUGACACUGAGGUGCGAAAGCGUGGGGAGCAAACA
rnacentral:rRNA from 1 species